rnacentral:rRNA from 1 species
GAUGAACGCUGGCGGCGUGCCUAAUACAUGCAAGUCGAGCGAACGGACGAUAAGCUUGCUUCUCUGAUGUUAGCGGCUGACGGGUGAGUAACACGUGGAUAACCUACCUAUAAUACUUGGAUAACUUCGUGAAACCGGAUCUAAUACCGGAUAAUAUUUUGAACCGCAUGAUUCAAAAGUUAAUGGCGGUCUUGCUGUCACUUUUAGAUGAAUCCGUGCUGCAUUAUCUAGUUGGUAAGGGAACGCCUUACCAAGGCUACGUUGCUUAGCGGACCUGAAGGGAUGAUCAGCCACACUGGAACUAAGACACGGUCCAGACUCCGACGGGAGGCGCAAGUGGGGAAUAUUGGACAAUGGGCGCAAGCCUGAGCCAGCCAUGCCGCGUGAGUGAAGAAGGUCUUCGGGUUGUAAAACUCUUUUAUUGGGAAAGAAAAUAAGCAGAUGAAUAUCUCACUGUUCUGACGGUACCCAAAGAAUAAGCACCGGCUAACUUCGUG